UGGGGAAUAUUGGACAAUGGGGGCAACCCUGAUCCAGCGACGCCGCGUGUGUGAAGAAGGCCUGUGGGUUGUAAAGCACUUUUAGUGGGGAUGAAAAGCCGAGGGCUAAUACCUUUCGGUCUUGACCUAACCCAAAGAAAAAGCACCGGCUAACUACGUGCCAGCAGCCGCGGUAAGACGUAGGGGGCGAGCGUUGUCCGGAUUUACUGGGCGUAAAGCGCGUGUAGGCGGCCUGCUAAGUGGCGUGUGAAAGCUCACCGCUCAACGGUGAGAGGCCGCGCCAUACUGGUGGGCUUGAGGGUGGCAGAGGGUGAUGGAAUUCCCGGUGUAGCGGUGAAAUGCGUAGAUAUCGGGAGGAACGCCAGUGGCGAAGGCGGUCACCUGGGCCAUCCCUGACGCUGAGACGCGAAAGCUGGGGGAGCGAA
rnacentral:rRNA from 1 species